GUUUGUAAAAAUAAUGUUAAAGAAUUUUUAAUCUUAAAAAAAUAUCAUAUAGUUGUACAAAGUUUUUAGUUGCCUUCUACAUUUGAAGUUAUUAAAAAUAUUCCAAGAUUAACUCCAAGCUCUUAUUGAAAAGAUAAAAAGAUUUAAAUAAUCAUGUAGUUGGAAAGUUGUAAUGAACUUGCAAAGCUUGUAAUUUUACUUUAUCUUUUAAA
rnacentral:lncRNA from 1 species